CCUACGGGUGGCAGCAGUGAGGAAUAUUGGUCAAUGGGCGCGAGCCUGACCCAGCGAAGUAGCGUGAAGGAUGACUGCCCUACGGUUUGUAAACUUCUUUUACACAGGAAUAAAGUGAGUCACGUAUUCCUUUUUGUAUGUACUUUAUGAAUAAGGAUCGGCUAACUCCGUGCCAGCAGCCGCGGUAAUACGGAGGAUCCGAGCGUUAUCCGGAUUUAUUGGGUUUAAAGGGAGCGUAGAUGGGUUGUUAAGUCAGUUGUGAAAGUUUGCGGCUCAACCGUAAAAUUGCAAUUGAUACUGGCAGUCUUGAGUACAGUUGAGGUAGGCGGAAUUCGUGGUGUAGCGGUGAAAUGCUUAGAUAUCACGAAGAACUCCGAUUGCGAAGGCGACUUACUAAACUGCCACUGACAUUGAUGCUCGAAAGUGUGGGUAUCAAACAGGAUUAGAUACCCUAGUAGUC
rnacentral:rRNA from 1 species